UUGAUGGAGGCUAAGCUAAAAAGUGGUACUCCUUUGAUUGUUGAUCGAUAUUCUUAUUCAGGGGUUGCCUAUUCAUCUGCCAAAGGUUUAGAUAUUGAAUGGUGUAAGUGAUGAGGCAAUCGAUAUCAAAUAUGACGUAACAAGAGUGUAAACCAUGAGGUGAGUUGAUUAAAGGACAGUUGAGACCUAGAAAGAAGAACAUUUCAGGCUGUGAUGAGUUGAGUGAAAAAUGUCUCUUGAUGCGGCAAAAUCCGAAGACAGCAGGUGCGAGUUUCUCCACUUGCAACUUCUAUUGCAACCAUGGUCGUCUAAUAGACAAAUUUGCACCAAAAAGGUCGGUCAGGUCAAUAUCUGGCGGCAUAGCUACAAGCCGUAUGUCCUUGCGAUUUUUGUUUCAGUAUUCAUCAGUUUGAGUUUAUCGUGCAGGUACAUUACCUAAUUUCACGGGAAACUUAGCUUCAAUGGAUCAUUAGACACGUUACGUACAAUCUAGCGGUAAUUGCUACCGGACCCCGCCGCAACGCGGCGGGACUGUUUUCUAGUUAUUUACUAAAUUCAACCCUUUGGAAGUUUAGAGCUUUGCUAUUUUUUAAAUCCUUCAUUCAUGCACAUCUUUGUAUCAACGCAACUAAGGACUACCCUUCAACACAAUUUACACACACAAUUCAUAAGCACUAUUGUAAGAUACUUAUUGCAAGCAAGCAAUUCCACCAUAGCAUUGCCAUUUGAGAAUAACACAAGUACAAUUGUAAAUAAUCAAAAAAAAAAAAAAAAAAAAAAACCACGCCUAAAAAUGUUGUGGAGCCGGUGAGUGAAAUAGUUGAACCAUACGUAGUGUGGUCCACUGCCUGGGCGUGGCCACCAUAGACAAAUCAACGGUGUGGCACCACUUUUGCAACUUUUGGGCGUGGAAGGGCGGGGACCAGUGGCGGACCAAAAACUUUUUUCAUGGGGGGGGGGGGGGGUGGGGGAUAGGGUGUUCAACGAAUCGAAUAAAGAAUGUUUGAAAUGAUCGAAUUGAAAUUUUUGAAUUUUUAUUAUUUUUACAUGAACUUGUAUUCGAUUAGAUUUGAUUUAUCCGAUUUGAGUUUGUUACGAAUUUUAUUCCCAAUUCAAAAUUCGACUUCGAAUAAAUUUGGUUUAAUUCAAGUUCACCCUAAAAAAUACUAUUUACUUUUAUGUUUAAAACUACUAUUUUAGAGUUUUCCCCAAAUUUAGAAGGUUUUCUUUUCCAUACAUAUGUGUAUAUAUAUUGUUGUAUAUAUGAAUAUAGAAAAAUGUGUGUAUAACUUGAAUUCGAAUUUCAAAUCGAAUCGAAUUGAAAAUAAAAAGUUCCUAUUCCAUUUGAAUUUGAUUACUUGACUCGAAUUCGAGUCGAAUCAAACUCGAAUAUUUAAAAACCGAAUUUGAAGCUUGAUAAUCGAGUCGAAUUUUGAACUCUCGAAUGCGAAUCGAAUAAUGGACACCCCUAGGGGGAAACAAGAACAAUCGGGAGGUUUAACCAAACUUUUAUGUUGUGCGGUCAUAAUUUGUGUGUAAUAAUAACACUAAUCUUUUUUAGAAAGGGGGGGGGGGUUCUCUCUUCAUUUGCAAUCUGGGUAUGCCCCUGUGAGACACACCGCGCCGCUGAGGCGUGAAGGAGAAGGCAUGGUUGUAACCAUAAUCGAAGAGGCGAAGGAAUCCAUUUGUAAUAUUUGAAUAUCUUAUAUCUUUCCUACAUUAUAGCACCUAUAGUAGCUAGAUUUAUAUGUUAAUAAGAAUAUUAAUAAACGUAUUGAAUGUGAAUGAACAUACUCAAAAUGUA
rnacentral:lncRNA from 1 species